rnacentral:rRNA from 1 species
CAGCAGCCACGGUAACACGUAGGGUGCGAGCGUUAAUCGGAAUUACUGGGCGUAAAGCGUGCGCAGGCGGUUAUAUAAGACAGAUGUGAAAUCCCCGGGCUCAACCUGGGACCUGCAUUUGUGACUGUAUAGCUAGAGUACGGUAGAGGGGGAUGGAAUUCCGCGUGUAGCAGUGAAAUGCGUAGAUAUGCGGAGGAACACCGAUGGCGAAGGCAAUCCCCUGGGCCAAUACUGACGCUCAUGCACGAAAGCGUGGGGAGCAAACAGGAUUAGAUACCCCUGUAGUCCCUGUCUCUUAUAC